rnacentral:rRNA from 1 species
AGAGUUUGAUCCUGGCUCAGAUUGAACGCUGGCGGCAUGCCUUACACAUGCAAGUCGAACGGCAGCACGGGAGCAAUCCUGGUGGCGAGUGGCGAACGGGUGAGUAAUAUAUCGGAACGUGCCCAGUCGUGGGGGAUAACGCAGCGAAAGCUGUGCUAAUACCGCAUACGAUCCAAGGAUGAAAGCGGGGGAUCGCAAGACCUCGCGCGAUUGGAGCGGCCGAUAUCAGAUUAGCUAGUUGGUGGGGUAAAGGCUCACCAAGGCGACGAUCUGUAGCUGGUCUGAGAGGACGACCAGCCACACUGGAACUGAGACACGGUCCAGACUCCUACGGGAGGCAGCAGUGGGGAAUUUUGGACAAUGGGCGCAAGCCUGAUCCAGCAAUGCCGCGUGCAGGAUGAAGGCCUUCGGG